AGCGAGCUUGCCUAGAUGAAUUUGGUGCUUGCACCAAAUGAAACUAGAUACAAGCGAGCGGCGGACGGGUGAGUAACACGUGGGUAACCUGCCCAAGAGACUGGGAUAACACCUGGAAACAGAUGCUAAUACCGGAUAACAACACUAGACGCAUGUCUAGAGUUUAAAAGAUGGUUCUGCUAUCACUCUUGGAUGGACCUGCGGUGCAUUAGCUAGUUGGUAAGGUAACGGCUUACCAAGGCAAUGAUGCAUAGCCGAGUUGAGAGACUGAUCGGCCACAUUGGGACUGAGACACGGCCCAAACUCCUACGGGAGGCAGCAGUAGGGAAUCUUCCACAAUGGACGCAAGUCUGAUGGAGCAACGCCGCGUGAGUGAAGAAGGGUUUCGGCUCGUAAAGCUCUGUUGGUAGUGAAGAAAGAUAGAGGUAGUAACUGGCCUUUAUUUGACGGUAAUUACUUAGAAAGUCACGGCUAACUACGUGCCAGCAGCCGCGGUAAUACGUAGGUGGCAAGCGUUGUCCGGAUUUAUUGGGCGUAAAGCGAGUGCGGGCGGUUCAAUAAGUCUGAUGUGAAAGCCUUCGGCUCAACCGGAGAAUUGCAUCAGAAACUGUUGAACUUGAGUGCAGAAGAGGAGAGUGGAACUCCAUGUGUAGCGGUGGAAUGCGUAGAUAUAUGGAAGAACACCAGUGGCGAAGGCGGCUCUCUGGUCUGCAACUGACGCUGAGGCUCGAAAGCAUGGGUAGCGAACAGG
rnacentral:rRNA from 1 species